rnacentral:misc_RNA from 1 species
CAACCCUCAAGCACUGCUUGGUGUUGGGGACCGGCGAGGUCGUCUCUCUCGACGCGCCGCCCCCGAAAUGACUUGGCGGCCCCGUCGCGGCCCUUCCUCUUGCGUAGUAGCACACACCUCGCAUCGGGAGCCCGACGGCGGCCACUGCCGUAAAACACCCAACUUUCUCAGA